AGGAAAAAUAAGAAAUUGAAAAUAAUAAUAAUAAAAAUAUAAUUUGAGAGACAAAUGAGCGUGCAAAUUUUAAAAAUAUUUAAGUUGUAUAGAGACAAAAUUGUACUUGUACUAUACUUAAAGGAAGUAAUGCUAGUCAAGACUUUUCUUAUUGAGAUAAGAAAUUCCAAGCCACCCACCAUUGGAGCUAUACUAUGUAAUUUUCUGAAUAUGAGGGCCGUUUAUAUAGUUAACUUGAUGAAUAAUUACCCAUAAAGUAAAUUGCUAAAGUAAAUGUAAAUUUUGAUGACAAAUUUAGGGCAAUUUUAUUUCUUUUUUCUCUUUUAUUGAGCUUAGGGGUGUGCAUCGGCCGAUUCGGUUCGGUUUUAUGUGUUAUUGGUUUGGUUUUUCGGUUUUUAAAUAUGCAAAACCAAUAACCUAUCAAUAAGAUAUUUUCUUAUCGAUUUUCGGUUUAUCGAUUUUUGAUGCUUAAUGGUUCAGUUUUCGAUUUAACCAAUAGGAAAAUGUUCAUUAAAUAAAAAUAGUAACAACUAAUAUAAAAAAAUGAAAUCUUAGUUGCCUCCAAAAUCAUACGCAAUGCGUUUUAGUUUAAAAAAAUCUUCAAACUUGAACUGAAUGUUAGUUCGGAAAAAAACUGAAUCUUUAUUGUUGGAUGCUACUAAAUGCUUCAAGCUUUCCAAUACGACAAUACCCGAGCUUUGUAUUGUGCCUUUGUUUCCCUGAAUAGGUUAAUACUUUGUGAAUCUUUGAAUUGUGAUUAUGUAGUGUGUUUGUGUGUGUGUGUAUAUAUAUAUAACACAAAUAGGAGUAAAACAAUAACUUAUUGUAUCCUUAUUGGGUUAUCGGUUAAGCUAAAAUCGAAACCGAACCAUUUACCCAAUAAAUUUUUUUAUAAAACCAAUAAAAAAUCAUUAACCCAAUAACCCAAUAACAUUUUUAUCGAUUCGAUUUAUCAAUCGGUUCGAUUUUUGCACACCGCUAAUUGAGCUGAACAAAAAUUUCAUGAAGAGGCCCAAGAGAUGAGCAGGUCAAAAGCCUAAAAAGUUGAAACCCAAAGUGAAAGUAGCGGACUGGUGGGCGAGCCCAUUCGUGAUUCGCUCGUCACGCAGAUAGCAGAAAGAGGAAAAGCCGCAGGGCUAAUCGGAGAGCUAGUGACCGAAGUCCCAACAUAUUUCACUUGCAAGUGGCUGCUUUCCGGCGAACCCUGAAUUCAAAUUUUUCAACUCCAAAUUGAAGUAUCUAUUGAGAAGAUGAGUUCUCGGAAGAAGACACCUUUCCAGAAGCAUAGAGAAGAGGAAGAGGCAAAGAAAAAGAGGGCAGAGGAUGAAACAGCUCGUCUGUAUCAGGAGUUUGUGGAAUCAUUCCAAGCGGACAAUACGCCAGGUUCCAAGGCAUUUGUUAGAGG